rnacentral:tRNA from 1 species
GUCAGGAUAGCUCAGUGGUAGAGCAGAGACUGAAAUC